rfam:Picea glauca, whole genome shotgun sequence.
AUGUACAUUCCUACAACAUAUCGUUAAUGCACUGGAUCCCAUUAGAACUUUGCAGUUAAGUGCGCUUAGGCUAGAGUAGUACUAGGAUGGGUGACCGCUCGGGAAGUCCUAGUGUUUUACAUG